AGUCGACGCGUUGGCCAAUUGAUUGAUGGUGCUUGCACCUGAUUGAUUUUGGUCGCCAACGAGUGGCGGACGGGUGAGUAACACGUAGGUAACCUGCCCAGAAGCGGGGGACAACAUUUGGAAACAGAUGCUAAUACCGCAUAACAGCGUUGUUCGCAUGAACAACGCUUAAAAGAUGGCUUCUCGCUAUCACUUCUGGAUGGACCUGCGGUGCAUUAGCUUGUUGGUGGGGUAAUGGCCUACCAAGGCGAUGAUGCAUAGCCGAGUUGAGAGACUGAUCGGCCACAAUGGGACUGAGACACGGCCCAUACUCCUACGGGAGGCAGCAGUAGGGAAUCUUCCACAAUGGGCGCAAGCCUGAUGGAGCAACACCGCGUGAGUGAAGAAGGGUUUCGGCUCGUAAAGCUCUGUUGUUAAAGAAGAACACGUAUGAGAGUAACUGUUCAUACGUUGACGGUAUUUAACCAGAAAGUCACGGCUAACUACGUGCCAGCAGCCGCGGUAAUACGUAGGUGGCAAGCGUUAUCCGGAUUUAUUGGGCGUAAAGAGAGUGCAGGCGGUUUUCUAAGUCUGAUGUGAAAGCCUUCGGCUUAACCGGAGAAGUGCAUCGGAAACUGGAUAACUUGAGUGCAGAAGAGGGUAGUGGAACUCCAUGUGUAGCGGUGGAAUGCGUAGAUAUAUGGAAGAACACCAGUGGCGAAGGCGGCUACCUGGUCUGCAACUGACGCUGAGACUCGAAAGCAUGGGUAGCGAACAGGAUUAGAUACCCUGGUAGUCCAUGCCGUAAACGAUGAGUGCUAGGUGUUGGAGGGUUUCCGCCCUUCAGUGCCGGAGCUAACGCAUUAAGCACUCCGCCUGGGGAGUACGACCGCAAGGUUGAAACUCAAAGGAAUUGACGGGGGCCCGCACAAGCGGUGGAGCAUGUGGUUUAAUUCGAAGCUACGCGAAGAACCUUACCAGGUCUUGACAUCUUGCGCCAACCCUAGAGAUAGGGCGUUUCCUUCGGGAACGCAAUGACAGGUGGUGCAUGGUCGUCGUCAGCUCGUGUCGUGAGAUGUUGGGUUAAGUCCCGCAACGAGCGCAACCCUUGUUACUAGUUGCCAGCAUUAAGUUGGGCACUCUAGUGAGACUGCCGGUGACAAACCGGAGGAAGGUGGGGACGACGUCAGAUCAUCAUGCCCCUUAUGACCUGGGCUACACACGUGCUACAAUGGACGGUACAACGAGUCGCGAACUCGCGAGGGCAAGCAAAUCUCUUAAAACCGUUCUCAGUUCGGACUGCAGGCUGCAACUCGCCUGCACGAAGUCGGAAUCGCUAGUAAUCGCGGAUCAGCAUGCCGCGGUGAAUACGUUCCCGGGCCUUGUACACACCGCCCGUCACACCAUGAGAGUUUGUAACACCCAAAGUCGGUGGG
rnacentral:rRNA from 2 species